UUCCUAGCCUCCCCAUUCCAUGCCUAGAUCAGCGUGCCUGAGGAGACAGGCAGAUUAUCGCAGUGCUCCUGCUGUGGGUCGCGUGGCAGCAGCACACCACCGCAUCCUUCUCAAGAAGGGGUGCCUCCCUUUGCCCCUUCUCCUUCUCGGUUCUGAAACUGAACUAGCAGGUACGGAGGGGGAUUGUGUGUAUGUCAGCUUAGUAGCGAGGGAGAGUAUAACAGGGAGGUCAUACAACAGGUCCUCCCAGGGAAUGGCAAAAACAAAGCUCAAGAACCCAACAGCAAAUACUAAAGAGAAUGAGGAAUAUGAAUGAACGCUGGUCAAGAGGCGUAACAGAAAAAGGCAUGAGAAGAACUGGCUUGUGCAGAGCCGGGUGUGGACUUCAGAGCUCCUCAGCGGCACCGACAUCCAUGCUUUGUAUUCUUGCUUCCUCCAUCUCCAGGAGGUCUAACGUCCAGAUAGCUGGCCAACAGUGUCCUAUAUAGCAAGUGCUACCCCCAACCCAGCUCCCAUGCCAGCGUCUCGACUCUGAUGCUGCUGGAUGUGACACCCUAUAGCAGAGCCAGAUAUUUGGUGGUCUUCCCCUGGCAUUUACACCUUCUUUCUUGAAGACAGGGAAUGAAACUGAAAAUGUCAGCAUAUGGUUAGCAUUUCAUACACGCUCGCUGCAGCACAGCAAAUAUGUUCGGCUGUGUUACGAAGAAUGACCAGGAAAUAGCUUAGGCUGAAUAACCAGUUUCGGAGUGCUGUUGCUCAAAGAUGUUAACAACAAUAAUAUAGCAGAACGUCUACAAAAUGAUCCUGUACUAAAUACCAUCAAAGCAGGCAGGAAUGGAUUAGGCCUGCUCUGAAUUCUGUUGUCAGGUUAUUUUCAGAGAAAAAUGCUUUUCUUGUUCAAAUCAGCACUGCUGGAAAAACUUUUUUUUUUUUUUUUUUGACAGAUUGCCACUGAGUGUUGAAAUAAUGAUUUCAGUUUUUCUGGUACUUGUUUGUAUCUUCAAAAUAUUAUUAGGCAAUAGCUAAUAAUUCCCUUAUAAAUCACAUAAUGCAUAACAUAAGGUGCACACAUAAUGGUGUUACAACUGGUCUAGAUAAAAGCCUUUGUGAAUCUGGCAAUGCUACAAUAAUCAACACAGUACUGGCUUUUUUCACCUAAAUCUGUCCCUCCUGGGUUGUAAUGAAAGGUUAUCACUUGCACAUAAAUAAAUGUGUACAACUGCUAUUGAUGUGUCAUGAAAUAAUAGAAAAUUGAAGUUGGCAAUAAAAAUUUCUUAAAAUUGUCAUAUGGUACGCUGUGGAAACAUUUUUAUUUUUUUUUAUUUCUCCUCAGUUUCCAUGCUCAGAAACCAGCUUGUUUAAAGCUUCCUCUGUGGAUGAAAUUGUGUAUUUCAACUAGUUCUGAAAUAACUGUUUUACUUAAGUUGGCAUAUAGAAUAUCUUGUCUAUGCAUUGGGAAUUAAAGAAGGAUAUCAAAGGACAUACCAAGAGCAAUAUUCCAUCCUGAAUUUAAGAAGAAAAAAGGGCAAACCAAUUGCUGCAGAAAUCUGAACUUGUAAAUGCAGGCUUUCAACUCCUAACC